ACUUCCGUUGGCUUUAUUGACCGUGAGGGUUCAAGUCCCUCUACCCCCA
rnacentral:tRNA from 1 species